AAGAUCCUUUCUCCAUAUGUCACCCGGCUCGUGUCUAUGUGUUGACUCGGUUCUCUCCCUUUCAGGCUGACUCUCAGGUCUGCCGGCCACUGGAAGUCCUCCUGUUUCAUUUGAUAUGGACCCUCAAGCAGAACAGAAGGGGACUGUCACUUAAGGUCUUCACCACUCCGUAAAAUAGAUUUCCACUAUCAUCAGCCUGCAAGAGUCUAGGACCUAAGAGAAGACCAGGAGUUUCCAAAAGGUAGGAAGUUCUAGCGGUGACAUAGUGCCAUCAACCAA
rnacentral:lncRNA from 1 species